rnacentral:rRNA from 1 species
UACAGAGGGGGCAAGCGUUGUUCGGAAUUACUGGGCGUAAAGGGCGCGUAGGCGGCCGCCUAAGUCAGACGUGAAAUCCCCGAGCUCAACUCGGGAACUGCGUCCGAUACUGGCGGGCUUGAAUCCGGGAGAGGGAUGCGGAAUUCCAGGUGUAGCGGUGAAAUGCGUAGAUAUCUGGAGGAACACCGGUGGCGAAGGCGGCAUCCUGGACCGGCAUUGACGCUGAGGCGCGAAAGCCAGGGGAGCAAACGGG